GAACCUAUCUAGUGAUAGAUAGCUGAAUCAAGAGAAGUCAGCCGAAGUCAUAGUAUCAAAUCUAGGAUUUGAGAAGGAC
rnacentral:ncRNA from 1 species